AUUAACAGCGCAUAUCCUUUGUUGGAACAGCCGAAGCUUUGGCCUCACAGGUCACAGAGGAGAAUUUCAAGAAUCGGCUGAUAUAUCCACCCUUCACCAAUAUCAGAAAGAUUUCAGCCCAGAUAGCUGCUAAAGUAGCUGCCAAGGCAUAUGAGCUCGGUGUUGCUACUCGUCUCCCUCGUCCAGAAAACCUCGUGAAAUAUGCAGAGAGCUGCAUGUACACUCCAGUAUACCGCACUUACAGGUAAGUUACACAAGGGAGGAGCAUCCACGACCCUGCUGUAGCAUGAUUACAAAUAUUGUGGUCUGUAGCUCUAGAGUUCACGUACAAGUUUAAGUUUGUUUACUUUGUCAUAUUAAACUUUUCCCCUCUUUCCAAAAAUAAGCAGUAUGUGCCUUGGAUAUGUUUGCUUGUACAUCAAUGUGAUCUUGUAUUAUAUUGUUGGAGCAUUUAUUUUUGAACUCAAAUUUAUGUGAGCAAAUACGGAGAAAAGCAUCAGGUGUGUUUUCAA